rnacentral:rRNA from 1 species
AGAGUUUGAUCAUGGCUCAGAUUGAACGCUGGCGGCAGGCCUAACACAUGCAAGUCGAGCGGUAGAGAGGUGCUUGCACCUCUUGAGAGCGGCGGACGGGUGAGUAAAGCCUAGGAAUCUGCCUGGUAGUGGGGGAUAACGCUCGGAAACGGACGCUAAUACCGCAUACGUCCUACGGGAGAAAGCAGGGGACCUUCGGGCCUUGCGCUAUCAGAUGAGCCUAGGUCGGAUUAGCUAGUUGGUGAGGUAAUGGCUCACCAAGGCGACGAUCCGUAACUGGUCUGAGAGGAUGAUCAGUCACACUGGAACUGAGACACGGUCCAGACUCCUACGGGAGGCAGCAGUGGGGAAUAUUGGACAAUGGGCGAAAGCCUGAUCCAGCCAUGCCGCGUGUGUGAAGAAGGUCUUCGGAUUGUAAAGCACUUUAAGUUGGGAGGAAGGGCAUUAACCUAAUACGUUAGUGUUUUGACGUUACCGACAGAAUAAGCACCGGCUAACUCUGUGCCAGCAGCCGCGGUAAUACAGAGGGUGCAAGCGUUAAUCGGAAUUACUGGGCGUAAAGCGCGCGUAGGUGGUUUGUUAAGUUGGAUGUGAAAUCCCCGGGCUCAACCUGGGAACUGCAUUCAAAACUGUCGAGCUAGAGUAUGGUAGAGGGUGGU